CCGGAACGGGAAAUUCUGUUCCAACGGGGAAAAAAACUUCUUUGCUUUCACGCCCUCCCGCUGCAGUCCUUAUCAGACAACGCCGGGAAGAGAGGACAGAUCUAUAAGCAACACUCACGGAAAGCUGAGGUAUUGUGAAGAGCAGCAGAGCUUCGCAGUGGGGGUCUCUGGUGGUCAUCACCAUCACCAAGUGACAACACCAGAAGCCCGGACACUCAGAGCUCCUGACCAGCUGUGAGAGGCGCACCUGGGCCUGGGGAACCCUCGUUCCCAGCAUGCUGAUGGAAACUCUGAGCCUGAAGAAGCCAUCAGACACAGCCACGAGUGCUGGGAAUCAGACCCCAGGCCUUGUGAAUGCCAAGUGAGUGCUCUACCACAGCCCCAGCUUGGCCAGAUCCUAAACCCUCCCAGCCAUCUGUGUACUUCCAUGUAAAGUCCAGUUUCAGGAAAGAAUUCCCCACCCACCCUCUGUGUCCGAUUCCUGUGGACAUCUGAGCUAUUUCUCAUCCUCCGUCAUCCACCAGGGUCUCGCUACGUUGCCCAGGGUGGGCUGGACUUUGUGACGCUUCUGCCUCAGCCUCCCAGAGUGCUGGAUUAUAGUCUGAGGCCCCUUCAUGUGCACAGGGUCAGAAGUUGGAGGCAGUUGGAGUAAACGCCAAGCUCAAAAUGUGUCUGAAACUACGCUGGAGCAAAAAUACACAGGGCCGAAUCCACGGGGCAAGCCCGCCUAAACAUAAGGACAUUUUCUGCAUUCAUUUCCAGACAGCAUACGUGGAUUCAUGAAUAGGCUGGAGACUUAGAGAGCUCGAAGAACCUGCCCCAGAUCUAUCGGGGGAGCGGCCCCUUGGGGACCUAAUCAAGUCACACUCAGGCUAGUGUUUUCCCUCAGCCAUGGUGACCUGCACCUCACUCCACAAAGGCCCACCAGAUCUUACCAGCAGGACCUGGGGGACGUGGGCCUUCUGGAUCUCCAGGACCUGGUUUUGUGUUUUUCAUUCUGACCAUUCUGAUUGACGGAGGGGUAUGUCUCCACUUGGUUUUCAUUUCCAUUUCCCCUAACAGCGAGUAAACCUUACCACCUUUUCAUAGGCUUAUUACCCAUUUAGAUGGC
rnacentral:lncRNA from 1 species